rnacentral:rRNA from 1 species
GAUGAACGCUGGCGGCGUGCCUAAUACGUGCAAGUCGAGCGAACGGACGAGAAGCUUGCUUCUCUGAUGUUAGCGGCGGACGGGUGAGUAACACGUGGAUAACCUACCUAUAAGACUGGGAUAACUUCGGGAAACCGUAGCUAAUACCGGAUAAUAUUUUGAACCGCAUGGUUCAAAAGUGAAAGACGGUCUUGCUGUCACUUAUAGAUGGAUCCGCGCUGCAUUAGCUAGUUGGUAAGGUAACGGCUUACCAAGGCAACGAUGCAUAGCCGACCUGAGAGGGUGAUCGGCCACACUGGAACUGAGACACGGUCCAGACUCCUACGGGAGGCAGCAGUAGGGAAUCUUCCGCAAUGGGCGAAAGCCUGACGGAGCAACGCCGCGUGAGUGAUGAAGGUCUUCGGAUCGUAAAACUCUGUUAUUAGGGAAGAACAUAUGUGUAAGUAACUGUGCACGUCUUGACGGUACCUAAUCAGAAAGCCACGGCUAACUACGUG